rnacentral:rRNA from 1 species
UAGAGUUUGAUCAUGGCUCAGGACGAACGCUGGCGGCGUGCUUAAUACAUGCAAGUCGAGCGGGGUUGAUUAGAAGCUUGCUUCUAAACAACCUAGCGGCGGACGGGUGAGUAACACGUAGGCAACCUGCCCACAAGACAGGGAUAACUACCGGAAACGGUAGCUAAUACCCGAUACAUCCUUUUCCUGCAUGGGAGAAGGAGGAAAGACGGAGCAAUCUGUCACUUGUGGAUGGGCCUGCGGCGCAUUAGCUAGUUGGUGGGGUAAAGGCCUACCAAGGCGACGAUGCGUAGCCGACCUGAGAGGGUGAUCGGCCACACUGGGACUGAGACACGGCCCAGACUCCUACGGGAGGCAGCAGUAGGGAAUCUUCCGCAAUGGGCGAAAGCCUGACGGAGCAACGCCGCGUGAGUGAUGAAGGUUUUCGGAUCGUAAAGCUCUGUUGCCAGGGAAGAACGUCUUGUAGAGUAACUGCUACAAGA